CGACUUAUAUUCUGUAGCAAGGUUAACCGUAUAGGGGAGCCGAAGGGAAACCGAGUCUUAACCGGGCGUUAAGUUGCAGGGUAUAGACCCGAAACCCGGUGAUCUAGCCAUGGGCAGGUUGAAGGUUGGGUAACACUAACUGGAGGACCGAACCGACUAAUGUUGAAAAAUUAGCGGAUGACCUGUGGCUGGGGGUGAAAGGCCAAUCAAACCGGGAGAUAGCUGGUUCUCCCCGAAAGCUAUUUAGGUAGCGCCUCGUGAAUUCAUCUCCGGGGGUAGAGCACUGUUUCGGCUAGGGGGCCAUCCCGGCUUACCAACCCGAUGCAAACUGCGAAUACCGGAGAAUGUUAUCACGGGAGACACACGGCGGGUGCUAACGUCCGUCGUGAAGAGGGAAACAACCCAGACCGCCAGCUAAGGUCCCAAAGUCAUGGUUAAGUGGGAAACGAUGUGGGAAGGCCCAGACAGCCAGGAUGUUGGCUUAGAAGCAGCCAUCAUUUAAAGAAAGCGUAAUAGCUCACUGGUCGAGUCGGCCUGCGCGGAAGAUGUAACGGGGCUAAACCAU
rnacentral:rRNA from 1 species